GUAUAAGCAUUAUACGGCGAAACUGCGAAUGGCUCAUUAUAUAAGUUAUCGUUUAUUUGAUAGUACCUUACUACUUGGAUAACCGUGGUAAUUCUAGAGCUAAUACAUGCUGAAAAUCCCGACUUCGGAAGGGAUGUAUUUAUUAGAUUAAAAACCAAUGCCCUCCUGGGCUCUCUGGUGAUUCAUGAUAACUUCUCGAAUCGCACGGCCUCGCGCCGGCGAUGGUUCAUUCAAAUUUCUUCCCUAUCAACUUUCGAUGUUUGGGUAGUGGCCAAACAUGGUUGCAACGGGUAACGGAGGGUUAGGGCUCGACCCCGGAGAAGGAGCCUGAGAAACGGCUACUACAUCCAAGGAAGGCAGCAGGCGCGCAAAUUACCCAAUCCCGACACGGGGAGGUAGUGACAAUAAAUACUGAUACAGGGCUCUUUCGGGUCUUGUAAUUGGAAUGAGUACAAUUUAAAUCCCUUAACGAGGAACAAUUGGAGGGCAAGUCUGGUGCCAGCAGCCGCGGUAAUUCCAGCUCCAAUAGCGUAUAUUAAAGUUGUUGUGGUUAAAAAGCUCGUAGUUGAACCUUGGGCCUGGCUGGCCGGUCCGCCUCACCGCGUGUACUGGUCCGGCCGGGCCUUUCCCUCUGUGGAACCCCAUGCCCUUCACUGGGCGUGGCGGGGAAACAGGACGUUUACUUUGAAAAAAUUAGAGUGCUCCAGGCAGGCCUAUGCUCGAAUACAUUAGCAUGGAAUAAUGAAAUAGGACGCGCGGUUCUAUUUUGUUGGUUUCUAGGACCGCCGUAAUGAUUAAUAGGGACAGUCGGGGGCAUCAGUAUUCAAUUGUCAGAGGUGAAAUUCUUGGAUUUAUUGAAGACUAACUACUGCGAAAGCAUUUGCCAAGGAUGUUUUCAUUAAUCAGGAACGAAAGUUAGGGGAUCGAAGACGAUCAGAUACCGUCGUAGUCUUAACCAUAAACUAUGCCGACUAGGGAUCGGACGAUGUUAUUUUUUGACUCGUUCGGCACCUUACGAGAAAUCAAAGUGCUUGGCUC
rnacentral:rRNA from 1 species